rnacentral:lncRNA from 1 species
AUGGAUGAGGAUAACGGGUCAAGAUAAGGCAAGGUGACAAAUACACUUAUUGGAGUACUCAAGGUAAGUGAUUUCUAUAAUCACUUCUUUAGUUGUUUAAGUAAUAUAAUGUUUUAAUUAUUAAGUUCAUAUGAAGUUGAGGUCAAAUCAAUAGAUUAUUUUGAUAAAUGCACGAAUGGGUCGAAUAAUUCAUAGAUGAAUAACAAGCCGAAUACGUUUAAGUUAAGAAAUUCCUUAACUCGGAUGUUGGACUUCAAGAUCACAUGAUAGAAUAUUAAAUUACAAUCAUAUAGGAAGAAACGUGACGCAAAACGGAUGAAAAAUGAGAGAGUUAUGUCCGUUACGGUAAGGAUUAAUGGCUAGGAAAAGUGCAGAGUUGACACGGCCGGGUGGUGAACUGACACGGCCGGGUGAAGGUUCUGUCAAAAAUAUUAUUUAUGUGAUUUAUGCGCCGUAGGCUUCGGUAUAUUAUCCGUGAACUACGACGGGCCUCCCAAACAUGAUUUCGAGUGUUUCCUUGACGAUUAUAAGUUGUAAACCCAAGUCUAAGCCUCAUGUAAUUUAUAUAAGAGUGUGAUAGAUGUAUGUAAUGAAGUUGGACAUGUAUUACAUGUAAAUGUAUACAAAAAUACGUACGGAACACGUAGAUAUGAAUACAUGAUUGUAGGUAUGAUUAAAUGUAUAUUAGGUAUGUAGAUGUGUAUGAUUGUAAGUUUGUAUGUGUGCAAGUAUGUGCGAAUGCAUGAUUUGGAUGCAUUUGAGAAUUAGCGUUACUAAUAAUGCCCUUGGGUUUGGAAUAUAAGUUAAAUGGAUGCAUUUAAAUGGUUGACGUCCUUUUUAUGAAGAUGUAGUAAAUGAAUAUGUUGAGAUUACGGGUUUGGCUAACCAAGUUAUUAUUGAGUAUGUUUGAAAGUGCAGGUUAUGAAUGUCGGACUUUCGAAGUGUUGAUAUAAUAAUGAAACGGUUGAAUGUUGAAAGGAUAAUCGGAUUGAAGUAACUUAUGCGGUUAGAAUAUGCUAUGGACGUUUUAGUUUAUACAACAUUUUAUGUUUGGUCGUCAUCAUCUACCAACGGGUAAAUCCUCAAUUCAGGCGACUUGGAGAAUCGGAGCGAGCGCGUGUUCAUGUUAUGUCAUACCAAACGCUUCCGCUAGCUUGUUCAAAUGUUUUUAGUCCAAAAUUUGUUGUUUUGGUUCUUAGUAGUAUUUUGUCGAAUGAAUCGUAGAAUUGUAUCUAGUUUGUUUAUGUUUAAAACAGGGGUAUGCUCGUUUUAUGGACGGGUCAUGCCCAAUUUUUGUUAAAUUAAUGCACCUGCG